GGAUUCAUGAGUGGAGCUGCCAUUAUUAUUUCAUUUCAACAGCUUAAAGGCCUCCUUUGACAUACCACACUUUACUAAGAAAACUGAUAUUAUUUUGGCAUUGGCUCAGUUAAGAGCACUAUAGUGCACCAUAAGUGGAAUUUGGAGACAAUUAUCAUUGGAACAUCAUGCUUGAUCUUCCUUCUUAUAACCAAGUACAUUGGUAAAAAGCAUAAGAAACUCUUCUGGGUAGCUACAAUUGCUCCUAUGACUUGUGUUAUAGUUUCCACCAUUUGUGUCUACAUUACAAGGGCUGAUGAGAAAGG